CUUCCGACCACGUCCUAUCCAUCUUUCCGUCGCGCACAGCCACGUUUACUCAAAUACGCACAAGGAGGAGACACAACAGAUGAAAGUGAUAAUGUUGAUGAUGAAAAUGAAAACGGGGAUGAUUCGAUUAAUAAUGAUAACUCAGAUUUAAGUUUAAAUACGUCUGAUACUUUAUCAUUAAUACAAACGAGAUCAUCUAAAUUGCCUAGCAAAGAAAAAAAUUAUCAAUAAUCAUCUACAUAAUAAUAUCGAGAAAACAAAAGGAAACCGUUUGGCUUCUAAGAGGAAAGUUAAUUAUAAUAUUAAAAAUGUGACCGAAUCAGAUGAUGAAUGUAAUACAGAAUCAGAUUUAAAUAUUUUAUCAAAAAGAGCAAAGCAAUCUGAACAGGUGACUAGAGGAAAGAAUAACGUAAAUAAUAAUACACAGAGGCAGAAAAAAAGAAUGACAUCUGUUGUUGGUUCUACAAGAAAUAGUACUCAUAAGAUCAGAUGGACGGAUGAUGAACGCACAAUAGUUUUAUCUUCAUUCCAACCUGCCAUAAAAAAUAAAAAAUUGCCAU